CUGGGGGUUUCCAGGAGGUUCCUCAGGCAGAGAUGAGGCACCGUGCUCUUUAAAGGUCAGAACUCAGGAUGAAACUCUGCAGGUUUUCGUAAGAACAAACCAUUGUCCCGGGUCCCUGCCCUGCCCC